AUGAAACCAUGUCUUACUGCUUGUUACACAAUAAUCUUAUUUUAAAAUACAAGUUUGUCCCUCACAAAGAUGGCUGUUGGUCGCGCUCUGUUGACACGUGAUAACCUAUCUAGCCUUUUAGACAGAGUCUGUGGUACAUUAACACGUAAUCAACCUGCGUGUCUGGGACGAAUGCAAUAGCUUUUUCACUUCAGCGGGAAGAUAUGUAUUACGUUUAGAUAUCGUGAAGCACUUGGUGAAGGAAUACAAGAACAUCUACAAUGAGAUAAUGAAGAGGGUCAGCAAAACCUUUGAGCAUGUACAGCAAACAUGGAGUCUUGGGUAGAUGUGCAGGACCAAGACCCCAAGAUCUGAGCCUCCCAGUCCAAAGAAGCAGAACAAUCUGGGGCUGCGACUGCACAGAUACACCGGCACAAAUCAACAGGAAUCAGCAGGCUUCUCUGGAAUCGCCCUGAUUGUAGGGAAACUGUUUUAGGACACCUGGGUUACAACUGAUGGCCUUUGACUUUAUGUUGAUGUUAUUUUUUAUUGUCAACUUUGUAUACAGCAGGGGUAGUCCAGUCCAGUCCAUUACAUUACAUUGCAAGACUUUCUUCCAACCAAGUCACAGGUUAUUGAAUUGAUCUUCAGCAGGGUCAGCUCAGUUAUUAAGGAACUGGUUUAUACAAGUCCUUGGCUAAUCUCUGCUGCCAUGGUAGAAAGACGAUUCCUGGAAAAAACAUGUACAUUGACUUAGUUAUUUUAACAUUGCAUCAGAUUCAAACCUUCCAAAAUACUCAUAGGAGCACAUUUAAAGGAAAUCUUGUUACAGCAAACGCAUUUCCAUUUUAAAACAUGUCAUCCGGUAUUACACUGGGGUCAGUUUGCUUGUCUGGCCUUCCAGGAAGUCUGUCGCUGCUUCACUUCCUGUGGCAUUGCACCUCACUCACUGAAAGCAUGUCUGUAAAUAGGGGAAAGCAGCUGAUUGGUUAAUGACAAUAAAGCUGAUUGAAUGAGUGGCCAACCAUGAGAAACACGAUGGUUCAUGGCCUGCAAACAGAUUGCUUUAACCUGAAGAAGUAGAUCUCACCUUGCAAAUACAAAUGCGUGUCACUAUAACAAGUGUUUCAUUAAAAGUGCACAUUGAAACCUCAUAACAACAUGAAGGUAAGAUUCAUGGAAGACAUUUGUAACAAUAUAAAUGUCCAUCAACAUGUUUUUGUAUUUUAAUCAAAACAAGACAGAUUUGCUCAAGAAAGUAAGUUAUAAGUUUAUUGUAAAAUAUGUCUUCUCUCUCUUUAGAUGACAGUGUAAUAGUUCAGACACCCUUCUGACUUUUUGUUUUGUUAAUUGUUGUAUUUUAUAUUGUAUUUUUUGUACUUGCAUAUUGUGUAACAGACUUUUUGUUCUGAUAAUUUUAAAAUGUUUUAUAAGAUUGAUUAAAGAAAAAAAAAAUUCUUAAUCCAGUUCACUGUCCAAAAUAGUUAUUCAGCAGGAGAGUGCUGGAGAGAUUUAAGGUUUAAUAAAACCAAUCGGAUUUUUCAAUAAAUUCCAAAUGAUCUCUGAUUGUGAAAGUGACUUCUAUUAUAUGUAUACUUAUGGAAACUAUAAUAAAUGGAAAAUUAGCUAUAUGGUAACAGUAUCCUGGGAGACAGUCAGCAUGGUUUUAGGAAAGGGAGAUCGUGUCUAACUAACCUGCUUUAUUUUUUUGAGGAUCGACAAUGGAUAAUUGUAAAGCACAACAUGGUUUAUUUAGAUUUCCAGAAAGCUUUUGACAAAGUCCUGCAUAAAACAUUAAUUCUCAAACUGAACGCAGUAGGGAUUCAAGGAAAUGCAUGCACAUGGACAGGGAGUGGUUAACAUGUAGAAAACAGAAAGUACUGAUUAGAGGAGAAACCUCAAAAUGGAGCGAGGUAACCAGUGGUGUACCACAGGGAUCAGUAUUAGGUCCUCUGCUCUUCCUAUGACUUGGAUUCUGGUAUAGUAAAUUUUAAUUUGCAGACGACACAAAAAUAGGAGGAGUGGCAAACACCGUCGCAGCAGCAAAGGUCAUUCAAAAUGAUCUAGACGGCAUUCAGAACUGGGUAGACACAUGGCAAAUUACAUUUAAUAUAGAAAAGUGUAAGGUACUGCAAACAGGCAAUACAAAUGUCCACUAUAAAUACCAUAUGGGAGAUACUGAAAUUGAAGAAGGAAUCUAUGAAAAAGAUCUAGGAGUUUAUGUUUGUAAACUUUCUCGUUUGUAAACUUUCUUAUGUUCUUAUUAUCCCAUACGUAAUGUCAUUGGUGGUCGUCUUCGAAUUGAAAGGGAACGUUAGGUAACUUACCGUAACCCUGGUUCCUUGAAAGAGAAGACGACCACCAACCAGCGAGGUUGCAUUUGUCGCCUUCAUGGGUUCAAUGGAAAAAGAGAAAUGGCUUCCUCAGGAUGACGGUUUUAACCCCUUGGUGGGCGGGACCGAGUGCAUCAUCACAGGAAGGGGCCUAUCGGCAGCUCUGGUAUAGAGAGCUCAGCGAUACCUACCCAAUGGGCA